rnacentral:rRNA from 1 species
UGGGGAAUAUUGGACAAUGGGCGAAAGCCUGAUCCAGCCAUGCCGCGUGUGUGAAGAAGGUCUUCGGAUUGUAAAGCACUUUAAGUUGGGAGGAAGGGCAUUAACCUAAUACGUUAGUGUUUUGACGUUACCGACAGAAUAAGCACCGGCUAACUCUGUGCCAGCAGCCGCGGUAAUACAGAGGGUGCAAGCGUUAAUCGGAAUUACUGGGCGUAAAGCGCGCGUAGGUGGUUUGUUAAGUUGGAUGUGAAAUCCCCGGGCUCAACCUGGGAACUGCAUUCAAAACUGACUGACUAGAGUAUGGUAGAGGGUGGUGGAAUUUCCUGUGUAGCGGUGAAAUGCGUAGAUAUAGGAAGGAACACCAGUGGCGAAGGCGACCACCUGGACUAAUACUGGCACUGAGGUGCGAAAGCGUGGGGAGCAAACA